UACAGAGGGUGCAAGCGUUGUUCGGAAUUACUGGGCGUAAAGCGCGUGUAGGCUGCGGGGUCAGUCGGAUGUGAAAUCCCUUGGCUUAACCAAGGAAGUGCAUCCGAUACUGCCUCACUUGAGUGUCGGAGGGGAUGGCGGAAUUCCCGGUGUAGAGGUGAAAUUCGUAGAUAUCGGGAGGAACACCUGUGGCGAAGGCGGCCAUCUGGACGACAAUUGACGCUGAGACGCGAAAGCGUGGGUAGCAAACAGG
rnacentral:rRNA from 1 species